AAUACUUAUAAUACUUAUAUAUCUUUAGUGUUUGAUUGUCAAGAGAGAAUGGAAACAAAGAAAUAAGUGAGAAAGAUACUGAAAAGUGAGAAAUUGAGAUGAUUUAAUGCGUUAGAUUGUUAUAAGAGAAAUAGAAAAAGAAAAAGGGAAGAAAGAAAUGUUGAUUUUUUUUAUAAAAAUACCAAAAUGUCCUUAGUUAAUUAAAAAAUUCUCU
rnacentral:lncRNA from 1 species